GGCUCCGUCGUUCAAUGGAUAGGACGAAGGUUUCCGGUACCUUUGAUGUGGGUUCGAUUCCCGCCGGAGCUA
rnacentral:tRNA from 1 species